rnacentral:rRNA from 1 species
UAACAAGGAUUCCCCUAGUAACUGCGAGUGAAGCGGGAAAAGCUCAAAUUUAAAAUCUGAUAGUCUUUGGCUGUCCGAGUUGUAGUCUGGAGAAGCGUUUUCCGUGCUGGACCGUGUACAAGUCUCCUGGAACGGAGCGUCAUAGAGGGUGAGAAUCCCGUCUUUGACACGGACUACCAGUGCUUUUGUGAUGCGCUCUCAAAGAGUCGAGUUGUUUGGGAAUGCAGCUCAAAAUGGGUGGUAAACUCCAUCUAAAGCUAAAUAUUGGCGAGAGACCGAUAGCGAACAAGUACCGUGAGGGAAAGAUGAAAAGCACUUUGGAAAGAGAGUUAAACAGUACGUGAAAUUGCUGAAAGGGAAACGCUUGAAGUCAGUCGCGUUUGCUAGGACUCAGCCUUGCCUCGGCUAAGGUGCAUUUCCUAGUAGACGGGCCAGCAUCACUUUUGGCUGCGGGAAAAAGGUCAGAGGAAUGUGGCACCUCCGGGUGUGUUAUAGCCUCUGGCUGUAUACCGUGGCUGGGAGUGAGGAACUCAGCGCGCCUUCAUGGCGGGGCUUCGGCCACCUUCGUGCUUAGGAUGCUGGCGU